AAAUCUGCCCCAAAUUACAAAAUCAGUGUACAUCAGCAUUUACUUAUUUAGCAGCACCCAGAAAACUCCAAACUCAUACCACAUGAAACAGUCAAGCACCCCCAUAACCCAAAAACAGGGAAAAGGGGGAAGUUGCUAAUUAAGAAUUUAAGAUCCUAGUUUCAACAGUUUUACUUAUAAAACAUCCCAAGUACUGUAAGUAGUCAACAUAAAUAAUUAAGGUACGAGGUUUUCAGAAGUGAUGGGUGAUGUAAACCCAGAUUUUAUUCAACCAACUGAAUACAGACCAAAUCCCACCUCCACCAUUGAAGCCAAAGAAAUCCCAGUAAUUGACAUCUCCUCUGCAAGUGAUGAGGUAAUAGCAGAGAUUAAGGAAGCUUGCGAAAAAUGGGGAUUUUUUCAAGUGGUAAAUCAUGGGGUGCCUUUAAAGAAGAGAGAGAUAGCGGAAUUGGCGGCGAGGAAAUUCUUUGGGUUGUCAAUGGAGGAGAAGAAGAAAGUGAGAAGAGAUGAAGAGAACCCUUUGGGGUAUUAUGAUUCUGAGCAUACUAAGAAUGUUAGGGAUUGGAAGGAGAUUUUUGAUUUUACUGUACAAGAUCCAACUUUGAUUCCUGCUUCACAUGAGAUUGGAGAUGAUGAGAUUAAGGAAUUGAGGAAUCAGUGGCCUGAUUAUCCUCCUGAGUUCAGGGUGGCCUGUGAAGAAUACACUCAAGAAAUGGUGAAACUAUCUUUUAAGCUGUUGGAGCUUAUAGCAUCGAGCUUAGGUGUACCUGCGGACCGUCUUAGUGGCUAUUUCAAAGACCAUGCAUCAUUUGUUCGAAUCAAUUACUAUCCACCAUGCCCUUACCCUGAUCUGGCUCUAGGAGUUGGUCCUCACAAGGACUCUGGUGCCUUGACUGUUCUUGCACAAGAUGAUAUCGGAGGACUUGAAGUCAAACGAAAAAUGGAUGGUGCGUGGAUCCUUGUGAAACCUAUUCCAGAUGCAUAUAUUAUCAAUGUCGGGGAUGUAAUUCAGGUUUGGAGCAAUGAUAAAUACGAGAGUGUAGAGCAUAGAGUGAAAGUUAAUCCCGAUAAGGAGAGAUUAUCAAUUCCAUUCUUCUUUAAUCCGUCACACUAUGUUAUGGUCAAGCCUUUGAACGAACUGAUAGACAAACAGAACCCUGCUAAAUACAGAGAAUAUAACUAUGGGAAGUUCUAUACUACAAGAAGGCUCAGCGACUUCAAAAAGCUCAAUGUUGAAAAUAUCCAAGUUCUUCAUUUCAGAAUACAAGAGUAAUUUAGGGUCAGUUGUCUAAAUGCAAAUUAUGCCACAAUUGUGGAAGGACACUUUCAGAAACUUCUGGUUGAAAAGUCUGCUAGUUUCAGCUAGAGAUGUUCGGUCCUUCUCAGAUUACACACAACCAUUGAUGGAUUUGAUGAAAGAUAUUCCCUCACAUCAGAAGGUGAUACUAGUUGGUCAUAGUUAUGGUGGUGCUGUUAUAUCUCAGGCAAUGGAACAUUUCCC